rnacentral:rRNA from 1 species
AUUGAACGCUGGCGGCAGGCCUAACACAUGCAAGUCGAACGAGUGGCGGACGGGUGAGUAAUGUCUGGGAAACUGCCUGAGGGAGGGGGAUAACUACUGGAAACGGUAGCUAAUACCGCAUACCAUCGGAUGAGCCCAGAUGGGAUUAGCUAGUAGGGGGGGUAACGGCGCACCUAGGCGACGAUCCCUAGCUGGUCUGAGAGGAUGACCAGCCACACUGGAACUGAGACCCGUUCCAGACUCCUACGGGAGGCAGCAGGGGGGAAUAUUCAACAAUGGGCGCAAGCCUGAUGCAGCCAUGCCGCGUGUAUGAUGAAGGCCUUCGGGUUGUAAAGUACUUUCAGCGGGGAGGCGUUACCCGCAGAAGAAGCACCGGCUAACUCCGUGCCAGCAGCCGCGGUAAUAC